rnacentral:rRNA from 1 species
UACGUAGGGGGCAAGCGUUGUCCGGAUUUAUUGGGCGUAAAGAGCGUGUAGGCGGCUUUACAGGUCCGUUGUGAAAACUCGAGGCUCAACCUCGAGACGCCGGUGGAAACCGUAAAGCUAGAGUCCGGAAGAGGAGAGUGGAAUUCCUGGUGUAGCGGUGAAAUGCGUAGAUAUCGGGAGGAACACCUGUGGCGAAGGCGGCCCCCUGGUUGGAUACUGACGCUGAUACGCGAAAGCGUGGGGGAGCAAACAGG